rnacentral:lncRNA from 1 species
CCUUUCUGCCAUUUAGAUCCUACUGUGGUCCUCUGACAGUUAGAACUGAAACUUGAGAUGCUGAAGGCAGUGUGAGAACAUGGGGACACUGGACCCUGGUCUGACGGGAGCCCUGAGGUCCUUGCUUAAUGAGUAGCUAGAUAGGUAAGUACAGACGUCUGCUUCUAAAACCUGGUAGGCUGCUUGACCAUCAGCUGCCUUCUGGAAAAAACAGUUCUCUUUCCCAAAGCCUUUCCAAAUUUAAUUUGCCACUAGUGUCUGUUUGUGUGCAUGAUGUGGGGGGUGGGGGUGGGGGAGGGUGUGUAUGCUUCUUGUGCCUGUGUGGAGGACAGA